rnacentral:rRNA from 1 species
UGUCGAGUGGCGGACGGGUGAGUAAUGCUUGGGAACUUGCCUUUGCGAGGGGGAUAACAGUUGGAAACGACUGCUAAUACCGCAUAAUGUCUUCGGACCAAACGGGGCUUAGGCUCCGGCGCAAAGAGAGGCCCAAGUGAGAUUAGCUAGUUGGUGAGGUAAAGGCUCACCAAGGCAACGAUCUCUAGCUGUUCUGAGAGGAAGAUCAGCCACACUGGGACUGAGACACGGCCCAGACUCCUACGGGAGGCAGCAGUGGGGAAUAUUGCACAAUGGGGGAAACCCUGAUGCAGCCAUGCCGCGUGUGUGAAGAAGGCCUUCGGGUUGUAAAGCACUUUCAGUUGUGAGGAAAAGUUAGUAGUUAAUACCUGCUAGCCGUGACGUUAACAACAGAAGAAGCACCGGCUAACUCCGUGCCAGCAGCCGCGGUAAUACGGAGGGUGCGAGCGUUAAUCGGAAUU